GACGAACGCUGGCGGCGUGCUUAACACAUGCAAGUCGAACGGAAAGGCCCUGCUUGCAGGGUACUCGAGUGGCGAACGGGUGAGUAACACGUGGGUGAUCUGCCCUGCACUUCGGGAUAAGCCUGGGAAACUGGGUCUAAUACCGGAUAGGAGCCAUUUUUAGUGUGAGGGUUGGAAAGUUUUUUUCGGUGUAGGAUGAGCUCGCGGCCUAUCAGCUUGUUGGUGGGGGAAUGGCCUACCAAGGCGGCGACGGGUAGCCGGCCUGGGAGGGGGGACGGCCACCUUUGGGCUGGGGUACGGCCCAGACUCCUACGGGGGGCAGCAGUUGGGAAUAUUGCACAAUGGGCGCAAGCCUGAUGCAGCGACGCCGCGUGGGGAAUGACGGCCUUCGGGUUGUAAACUCCUUUCGCUAGGGACGAAGCUUUUUGUGACGGUACCUAGAGAAGAAGCACCGGCUAACUACGUG
rnacentral:rRNA from 1 species